rnacentral:rRNA from 1 species
GACAGAGGAUGCAAGCGUUAUCCGGAAUGAUUGGGCGUAAAGCGUCUGUAGGUGGCUUUUUAAGUUCGCCGUCAAAUCCCAGGGCUCAACCCUGGACAGGUGGUGGAAACUACCAAGCUAGAGUACGGUAGGGGCAGAGGGAAUUUCCGGUGGAGCGAUGAAAUGCGUAGAGAUCGGAAGGAACACCCAAGGCGAAAGCACUCUGCUGGGCCGACACUGACACUGAGAGACGAAGGCUAGGGGAGCAAAUGGG